GUCACUUCCGGUUGACCUAUUUUAAUGUAAGGGUGUCGCGGGUCAAACUCGUCAAUCUCAGGAAUAUAAAUCUUUCCACCUGGAUGAAACCCUGAAUAAAGAGUCAAUGAGAAUACUGGAAACAAACAGGCCUUGGAGGAUCAUUGUGAUUCACUUAUCCAGUUGUAAAGGAAAGGCCAGGGACAUCUGCUCCUUUGGGAAUCUGCAGCCCUUUGAAAAGAAAAUAGAGGUUAAAAAUCUGCUAAAUGAGUUAGCAGCAACAGGAUCCUUCUCUACCAGAGGGCAAGUGUGAAGAACAAUGUCUCCAAGUGGCAGGGAGGCAGCAGAGAGAACGAUGGAUGAUCGGCUGGGCUCUGCUGUUCAACGUUCCCAUUUCCCCUGUCACGUCCCUUCCCCUCCUACCCCCUUUGCCU